rnacentral:SRP_RNA from 1 species
GCUGGGCGUGGUGGCACGCACCUGUAAUCCCAGCUACUUGGGAGGCUGAGGCAGGAGAAUCGCUUGAACCUGGGAGUUGGAGGUUGUAGUGAGCCGAGAUCGCGCCACUGCACUCCAGCCUGGGUGACAGAGCGAGACUCUGUCUCAA